CGGGAUGCGUCCCGUCAAGGAAUGUGGCUCGUCUUUCGAGCUGAACCUGAAA
ncrna:unclassified sequences eL15-Euryarchaeota ribosomal protein leader